CAGAAAAUAGUUUAUAAAAAAUAAUAGUUUUGGAGACUAUAGACGUUUAGGCUUUCCUGA
rnacentral:tRNA from 1 species